rnacentral:tRNA from 1 species
GGGGCUGUGGCUCAGUGGUAGAGUGCUCGUCUAGCGCAUGUGAGGCACUGGGUUCAAUCCUUAGCACCA